UACGAGGGGCGCAAGUGUUGUUCGGAAUCACUGGGCGUAAAGGGAGCGUAGGCGGGCUUUUAAGUUAGGUGUUUAAUCCCGGGGCCCAACCCCGGACCGGCACCUAAAACUGGGAGUCUUGAAUAGUGGAGAGGUCAGUGGAAUUGGGGGUGUAGCGGUGGAAUGCGUAGAGAUCCCCAAGAACACCAGUUGCGAAGGCGGCUGACUGGACACAUAUUGACGCUGAGGCUCGGAAAGCAUGGGGAGCAAACAGG
rnacentral:rRNA from 1 species